UAACAGAAACCCGUAAAUCCGAACUUGUGCUAUUCCAUUAAGGUUACAAGACCGGCAUUAUGGGAGUCUGUCAA
rnacentral:pre_miRNA from 1 species